AGCUUUGCGCAGUGGUAGUAUCAUAGCCAAUGAGGUUUAUCCGAGGCGCAAUUAUUGCUAAUUGAAAACAAAACAUUAGCCAUGCAUGAUGACUGGCACCUGUAAUCCCAGCUACUCAGGAGGCUGA
ensembl:snRNA U4 U4 spliceosomal RNA